GCUUGCCUCACUUCCAUGCAUGCGAUAGCUUGUCCCAACCAAAACUUGCCGCUUCUAUCAAUCAAUGCACACAAAUAUGCUUGCUUGGACAGACACAAACAUAUGCUUGCCCCUACGUAACUAGAGCCCUGUAGGUCCUCCUAUAUAGGGCUAGGUUUCAACACCAUUCACUGGUAAGGCCCCACAUGUAGCAUUCCCGACGGCGGCUAUCCCGAGCUAGCCAUCCAUAGUUGUAAGCCUCCCUUACCCCACCACCCUCACUGAAAUUCAAUUCAAUGAAAGGCAGACCCCAUAGAAGUAAGCCUGAGCCAGCUCAAUGAAGACUUCUCAAAUACCCUCUAGCCAGACCGCAUAAAGAUACAGAACAAAAAAUUCGUGCUCAACCAACCCGUCUCAAUCCAUGUCAAUCAUCAACCAAGGCCCGCACCAGCUCUCAUUACCAUCCCUCUUCAACCUACCCCAACACCUAUUCCCAUUACCACGCCUCCACAGAACCCUCAGAACCACGCACCAGCCACCAUCACUAUCCCUAAACCUUCACCUAUCGUUAUCUCAACCCCACCCUUUUCUAUAAGUAAGGGAAGGUAAGGCUUUCAAAGGUGUCUUGGACAUAUGAAACCAGGACGAUAGCAUUGAAAGUGGAGAAGAAAGAGGGUGAAGAAUGUGCUGAGAUAGGAAAUAUGACUAGGUCGGGACGAUGCUUCAAACCUGACCGAACCACGGAAGGACCAAGGAAAGGAGAAAGCAGUAGAGAAAGACCCAGCAGAAGAAUAUUCUCACAAGGCUCUCAAGAAGCCAGAGUAGAAUGUGGCGGAACAACUGAAAAAGAUCCCCACGCAGAUCUCAAUUGUUGAUCUAUUGAUAACCUCGGAACAUCACCGAGAGCAAAUGAUUGAGGUUCUGCAAAAGGCCCAUGUAAAAGACUAUAUCACUCCCGAAAGGCUGGCCUACUUGGUCGGACAAAUCAUGGCG
rnacentral:lncRNA from 1 species